CAGCCCCAAAGAGCUGAGCCCUAGGAAGGCUCGGGCUGCAGCAAGCUGUCUGAGGUCCGAAGCCAGAAAUAUGUGUCUUUAAAAAAAAAAAAAAAGGAAGAGGAAGAAAGAAAUGGGGAGGGGACCCGCGAGGCUGGAGGAGGAAGGUAGCGCUGGGCAGCGUGGACGAGCCGCCCCCUGCUUUGCAAAGUGUCUGCGGAACGAAAGCGAGAGUUUAAAGAAACAGGAGGCCCACUGAAUUUCCUAUGGGUCUUCAACAGAAAUUCUCUCGCUAGUAUGUUUUUGUUUUAUCAGCUUCAGCAUUAACCCUUUCCAGUUUGCAUAAUCUCAGGUUAAAGGGAUAAAUACAAAGAAAGGAAGCAAUGAACAUUAAUUAAAAGUACUGAUUCUAGAACCAGACUGCCAGGGCUGGAAUUACACCUCCCUCACUGAACAGCCAAAUGACUGAGAGGUUUACUUAAUCUCACUGUGCCUCAGUGCCUCACCCAUCAAAUGGGAAGAUGGUAGUGAUGUCCUUAACAAGGUCCUGGUAUUAGAUUAAGUGAAUUAAUACUGUAUACUUACAGAAUUGUGAACAGAGCCUUGGAGAAUUAUGAACAGCGCCUGCACAAAGUACAUGACUUUAUGUUUCUUAAAUUAGAAAGGAGAGGAAAGGAGAGAGGCCUAAACCAGUGGAGAGUUUGCUUCAGUAUUGAGUUCAAAAGGUCUUGUUAGUCUGUUCUUGUCCACUCUAUUCCACACCCUGAAGAGUUUAGGGACGCCAUUAAUAAUCCCCUGUGAAAACGAAUGAAGAAAACCUAAUUCAGAAUGAGUCAGUAAGCAGUAUCGGAAGGUUCUAGCUACUCUUCACAACUUACUUUAUGUACCCCAGCAGGAAGAAGGCAGAGUUUUCUCCCUGCCCAGCAACAACCAUCCAAUGAGAGGCCACCGGAACCCCUGGAACUCCUCCAAUGAACUUUUGCUCAAAACAAUGCCUCCCAGCUCCCUCUUUUCCUCUAUAAAGGCACACACUUCUCUAUAGUCAGCCAAAGUUUGUCCCAAAUUGUAAUUAUUUGGCUAUUUCCAAAUAAGUCUUUUGCUGGUUAAAUAAAUAAAUUUGGCUAUUUAUUUUGAA